rnacentral:rRNA from 1 species
GAUGAACGCUGGCGGCGUGCCUAAUACAUGCAAGUCGAGCGAACAGACGAGGAGCUUGCUCCUUCGACGUUAGCGGCGGACGGGUGAGUAACACGUAGGUAACCUACCUAUAAGACUGGGAUAACUUCGGGAAACCGGAGCUAAUACCGGAUAAUAUUUCGAACCGCAUGGUUCGAUAGUGAAAGAUGGCUUUGCUAUCACUUAUAGAUGGACCUGCGCCGUAUUAGCUAGUUGGUAAGGUAACGGCUUACCAAGGCAACGAUACGUAGCCGACCUGAGAGGGCGAACGGCCACACUGGAACUGAGACACGGUCCAGACUCCUACGGGAGGCAGCAGUAGGGAAUCUUCCGCAAUGGGCGAAAGCCUGACGGAGCAACGCCGCGUGAGUGAUGAAGGUCUUCGGAUCGUAAAACUCUGUUAUUAGGGAAGAACAAACGUGUAAGUAACUGUGCACGUCUUGACGGUACCUAAUCAGAAAGCCACGGCUAACUACGUG